ACGGCUCAGUAACACGUGGCCAAACUACCCUCUGGAGCGCGACAACCUCGGGAAACUGAGGCUAAUCGUGCAUACCGCUCUCACGCUGGAAGUUGCGGAGAGCUCGAAAUGCCCCGGCGCCAGAGGAUGUGGCUGCGGCCGAUUAGGUAGACGGUGGGGUAACGGCCCACCGUGCCAAUAAUCGGUACGGGUUGUGAGAGCAAGAGCCCGGAGACGGUAUCUGAGACAAGAUACCGGGCCCUACGGGGCGCAGCAGGCGCGAAACCUUUACACUGCACGCCAGUGCGAUAAGGGGACUCCAAGUGCGAGGGCAUAACGUCCUCGCUUUUCGUGACCGUAAGGUGGUCACAGAAUAAAGGCUGGGCAAGACCGGUGCCAGCCGCCGCGGUAAUACCGGCAGCCUGAGUGAUGGCCGCUCUUAUUGGGCCUAAAGCGUCCGUAGCUGGCCGCGCAAGUCCAUCGGGAAAUCUGUCCGCUUAACGGACAGGCGUCCGGUGGAAACUGUGCGGCUUGGGACCGGAAGACCAGAGGGGUACGUCCGGGGUAGGAGUGAAAUCCUGUAAUCCUGGACGGACCACCGGUGGCGAAAGCGCCUCUGGAAGACGGAUCCGACGGUGAGGGACGAAAGCUCGGGUCACGAACCGGAUUAGAUACCCGGGUAGUCCGAGCUGUAAACGAUGUCUGCUAGGUGUGGCACAGGCUACGAGCCUGUGCUGUGCCGUAGGGAAGCCGUGAAGCAGACCGCCUGGGAAGUACGUCCGCAAGGAUGAAACUUAAAGGAAUUGGCGGGGGAGCACAAUC
rnacentral:rRNA from 1 species